UGUUUGUCCAAGGGGAAAGAAAAAUAAAUGACAAUUAUUUUUUUUUGUUUCAGUUUGCAAAGAAAUAUCAAUUUUAAUUUCAAUUUAGAACGCUUGGACACAAUUGAAACUAAGUUUUGAAUAAAAUUAACAAAAUUAAAAGAUUUGAAUAUAAUUGAAAUAAUGUGCAAAUGUUUGAAUUUUUUUUAUUCAUUUGGCUAUGAAAAUAAAAUCAUUGAAAUUUCUUGCACUUUCUUGAAUUAAUUCUCAAACCAAGCACUUGUGACCUCCUCACUUCUCUCCCUUGCUCGACGUUCUCUUUGGUCUUCUUAUCACUCCAAUCCUCUUUUUAAUCUCUCUCCCCUUUUCUCCCCUUUUCUCCCAAAACUCCCAUAUAUACCAAAUCAAUUUCAUGUGCCAAUGCCAAAAAGUAGCAGCAGCAACAACAGAAGCUCAAGUCCCAAGUGACCUCAAGUUUCUACCCCAAAAUUGGAGUCAUGGUUUGACAGCCCAAGUCCUAUGAAGUUCUCACUUUCCUAUAAUUUUCAUUUCCUCUCAAUUUUCAGUUUUUGGCUUCGAUUUGCUACUUCCAUGUUUCCAAGAAAUACCUCUCUUUUCCUUUCCUUUUCUUUUCCUUUUUAUUUAAUCUUAGCUUGCAAUUUUGUUAAUAGCAAUACCCAUUUCUUAAUUUCUUGUUCUACAAGGAUGGCAUUAUUGAAAGGAUAUUCUAUUUAAAUAAUUUGAAUUUGAAGCUAUCAAUUAUUGCUUGUGGCAAUUUAAAGUUGUAGUUCUUUAAAAUUGAGAAUAUUCUUUAGAAACUUGAAAUGAUGCCUUUGGCUCAAAUUGGUUUUUGAAUCUAAACUAUGGAUGGCUAUUAAGAUAUUGCAACUCCUUUCAAAAUAAUGAAGAUAGUGUUUGCUUUUAUGUUCUAGGAGUGUCAAAUUUUUGUAGUUAUAAAUGAGGGCAUUCAUUGUACAAAAACCUAAUGAAAGGAACAAUCAGUCUGACAGAAUACAAUACUAAGGACCUUUUAGUUCACUUUAAAAAAGCAGGCAAGAAGUAAUAUUUCAUCACAUCUCAAGGGGAGAUAGUAAAUCAGCAUUGUGUUAUAGUUUAUUAUUUCAUAAAAAAUGAAAAUCUUAAUAAAGCCUGAUAACACUAACAAUAAAUAUACAAAACGGAAGUACCUGGAUUUCUCUUGGGCAAAGU
rnacentral:misc_RNA from 1 species